UACAGAGGGGGCAAGCGUUAUUCGGAAUUAUUGGGCGUAAAGGGCACGUAGGCGGCUUGGCAAGUGGAUGGUGAAAUCCCUCGGCUUAACCGAGGAACUGCCAUCCAGACUGCUUUGCUUGAGUCCGGGAGAGGUGAGUGGAAUUCCCAGUGUAGCGGUGAAAUGCGUAGAUAUUGGGAGGAACACCAGUGGCGAAGGCGGCUUACUGGACCGGUUCUGACGCUGAGGCGCGAAGGCGUGGGGAGCGAACAGG
rnacentral:rRNA from 1 species